rnacentral:tRNA from 1 species
GCCUGACUGGCUCAGUCGGAAGAGCAUGGGACUCUUGAUCUCGGGGGUUGUGGGUUUGAGCCCCACGUUGGGUG